rnacentral:misc_RNA from 1 species
UGCUUGGUGUUGGGGCGCUACGGUGGAGGCUUAGCUAAGCUUUACGCUGUAGGCUCUGAAACAUAGUGGCGGACUCGCUGUGGUCCUGAGCGUAGUAGUUAAAAUUUCUCGCUCCGGGUUCCGCGGUGGGUUCUUGCCGUUAAACACCCUAUAAUAUCAAGGUUGACCUCGGAUCAGGUAGGAAUACCCGCUGAACUUAA